rnacentral:rRNA from 1 species
ACGUAGGGUGCAAGCGUUGUCCGGAUUUAUUGGGCGUAAAGAGCUCGUAGGCGGUUUGUUACGUCGGAUGUGAAAUCCUGGAGCUUAACUCCGGGCCUGCAUUCGAUACGGGCAGACUAGAGUGUUGUAGGGGAGACUGGAACUCCUGGUGUAGCGGUGAAAUGCGCAGAUAUCAGGAAGAACACCGAUGGCGAAGGCAGGUCUCUGGGCAACUACUGACGCUGAGGAGCGAAAGCGUGGGGAGCAAACAGG